rnacentral:rRNA from 1 species
AUUGAACGCUGGCGGCAGGCCUAACACAUGCAAGUCGAGCGAGCGGCGGACGGGGGGGUAAUGUAUGGGGGCUGCCCGAUAUAGGGGGGUAACUCCUGGAGACGGUAACUCAUACCGCGUAUGAUCAGAGAACCCAUAUGGGAUUAGCUAGUGUGUGAGGUAAUGGCUCACCUAGGAGACGAUCCCUAGCUGGUCUGAGAGGAUGUUCAGCCACACUGGGACUGAGACACGGCCCCGACUCCUACGGAGGCAGCAGUGGGGAAUAUUGCACAAUGGGCGCAAGCCUGAUGCAGACAUGCCGCGUGUAUGACGAAGGCCCUAGGGUUGUAAAGUACUUUCAGUCGGGAGGCGUUACCGGCAGAAGAAGCACCGGCUAACUCCGUGCCAGCAGCCGCGGUAAUUC